AUCCACUACUCAGUUGCUAGAGUACAAUGCUCUUAAACUUGUGGACGUGGGUUCAAGCCCCAUGGUGGAUA
rfam:Triticum aestivum genome assembly, contig: Triticum_aestivum_CS42_TGACv1_scaffold_308208_4AS